rnacentral:rRNA from 1 species
UGGGGAAUUUUGGACAAUGGGCGAAAGCCUGAUCCAGCAAUGCCGCGUGUGUGAAGAAGGCCUUCGGGUUGUAAAGCACUUUUGUCCGGAAAGAAAUCCUCUGGGUUAAUACCUCGGGGGGAUGACGGUACCGGAAGAAUAAGCACCGGCUAACUACGUGCCAGCAGCCGCGGUAAUACGUAGGGUGCAAGCGUUAAUCGGAAUUACUGGGCGUAAAGCGUGCGCAGGCGGUUUUGUAAGACGGAUGUGAAAUCCCCGGGCUUAACCUGGGAACUGCAUUCGUGACUGCAAGGCUAGAGUAUGGCAGAGGGGGGUAGAAUUCCACGUGUAGCAGUGAAAUGCGUAGAGAUGUGGAGGAAUACCGAUGGCGAAGGCAGCCCCCUGGGCCAAUACUGACGCUCAUGCACGAAAGCGUGGGGGAGCAAACAGGAUUAGAUACCCUGGUAGUCCACGCCCUAAACGAUGUCAACUAGUUGUUGGGGAUUCAUUUCCUUAGUAACGUAGCUAACGCGUGAAGUUGACCGCCUGGGGGAGUACGGUCGCAAGAUUAAAACUCAAAGGAAUUGACGGGGUCAUAGCUGUUUCC